rnacentral:rRNA from 1 species
UACGUAGGGUGCGAGCGUUAAUCGGAAUUACUGGGCGUAAAGCGUGCGCAGGCGGUUUUGUAAGCCAGAUGUGAAAUCCCCGGGCUUAACCUGGGAAUGGCAUUUGGGACUGCAAGGCUGGAGUGUGGCAGAGGAGACUGGAAUUCCUGGUGUAGCAGUGAAAUGCGUAGAUAUCAGGAGGAAUACCGAUGGCGAAGGCAGGUCUCUGGGCUGACACUGACGCUCAUGCACGAAAGCGUGGGGAGCAACAGGAUUACGAA